UACAGAGGUCCCAAGCGUUGUUCGGAUUCAUUGGGCGUAAAGGGUGUGUAGGUGGCGCCGUAAGUGGGGUGUGAAAUUUCGGAGCUUAACUCCGAAACUGCAUUCCAUACUGCGGUGCUUGAGGACUGGAGAGGAGACUGGAAUUUACGGUGUAGCAGUGAAAUGCGUAGAGAUCGUAAGGAAGACCAGUGGCGAAGGCGGGUCUCUGGACAGUUCCUGACACUGAGGCACGAAGGCCAGGGGAGCAAACGGG
rnacentral:rRNA from 1 species